rnacentral:rRNA from 1 species
GCUGACGUGGGGCGGGGGUGGGUGGUAAGGCGUAGGGGGGUUGCGUUGUGCGGGGUGUUUGGGGGGGAAGAUGUUGUAGGCGGCCAGGAAGGGCUGGGGUGAAAACUGGAGGCUGAACCGGGAGACGGCGGCGGAAACCAGCUGGCUAGAGGCCGGAAGAGGAGAGUGGAAUUCCUGGUGUGGCGGUGAAAUGCGCAGAUAUCAGGAAGAACACCCGUGGCGAAGGCGGCUCUCUGGGACGGUACUGACGCUGAGACGCGAAAGCGUGGGGAGCGAACAGGAUUAGAUACCCCUGUAGUC